AUUGAACGCUGGCGGCAUGCUUUACACAUGCAAGUCGAACGGCAGCGCGGGCUUCGGCCUGGCGGCGAGUGGCGAACGGGUGAGUAAUACAUCGGAACGUGCCCAGUAGUGGGGGAUAGCUCGGCGAAAGCCGGAUUAAUACCGCAUACGACCUGAGGGUGAAAGCGGGGGAUCUUCGGACCUCGCGCUAUUGGAGCGGCCGAUGCCAGAUUAGCUAGUUGGUGGGGUAAAGGCCUACCAAGGCGACGACCUGUAGCUGGUCUGAGAGGACGACCAGCCACACUGGGACUGAGACACGGCCCAGACUCCUACGGGAGGCAGCAGUGGGGAAUUUUGGACAAUGGGCGAAAGCCUGAUCCAGCAAUGCCGCGUGUGUGAUGAAGGCCUUCGGGUUGUAAAGCACUUUUGGCGGGAACGAAAAGGACUGUGCCAAUACCACGGUUCGAUGACGGUACCCGCAGAAUAAGCACCGGCUAACUACGUG
rnacentral:rRNA from 1 species